rnacentral:tRNA from 11 species
UGGGGCGUAGCCAAGUGGUAAGGCAACGGGUUUUGGUCCCGCUAUUCGGAGGUUCGAAUCCUUUCGUCCCAG